AGAGUUUGAUCCUGGCUCAGGAUGAACGCUAGCGGCAGGCUUAACACAUGCAAGUCGAGGGGCAUCAUGGUGUAGCAAUACACUGAUGGCGACCGGCAAACGGGUGCGGAACACGUACACAAUCUACCUUUUUCAGGGAGAUAGCCCGGAGAAAUCCGGAUUAAUAUCCCAUAAUAUAUAGUAAUGGCAUCAUUAUUAUA
rnacentral:rRNA from 1 species